AUCCAGUUGACGAGUACCAAGUAGGAUGAAACGCGUGUCCUGGAU
rfam:Schistosoma mattheei strain Denwood, Zambia genome assembly, scaffold: SMTD_scaffold0001895